AGAGGGUCCGAGCGUUGUCCGGAAUCAGUGGGCGUAAAGGGCGCGUAGGCGGCCUGAUAAGUAGGGGGUGAAAUCUUCCGGUUUAAACCCAAGGCUGCCUUGUAAACUGUCAGGGUAGAGCACAGUAGAGGCAGGUGGAAUUCCCGGCGUAGCGGUGGAAUGCGUAGAGAUCGGGAAGAACAUCCAGGGGAAGGCGGCCUGCUGGGUUGUUGCUGACGCUGAGGCGCGGCAGUGUGGGGAGCAUACAGGAUUAGAUACCCUGGUAGUUCCCACCGUAAACGACGGGCAGUAGGCGUCGGGGGGAGCUACCCUUCCGGGGCCGUCGCUAACGCAGUAAGUGCCCCGCAAGGGGAGUACGCCCUCAAGGCUG
rnacentral:rRNA from 1 species